UACAGAGGUCUCAAGCGUUGUUCGGAAUUACUGGGCGUAAAGCGUGCGCAGGCGGUUUUGUAAGCCAGAUGUGAAAUCCCCGGGCUUAACCUGGGAAUGGCAUUUGGGACUGCAAGGCUGGAGUGUGGCAGAGGAGACUGGAAUUCCUGGUGUAGCAGUGAAAUGCGUAGAUAUCUGGAGGAACACCGGUGGCGAAGGCGGCGUCCUGGACCAACACUGACACUGAGGAGCGAAAGCCAGGGGAGCAAACGGG
rnacentral:rRNA from 1 species